GAUGAACGCUAGCGGCAGGCCUAAUACAUGCAAGUCGAACGGGAUCCAGAUCAAAGCUUGCUUUGGUCUGGUGAGAGUGGCGCACGGGUGCGUAACGCGUGAGCAACCUACCCUUGUCAGGGGGAUAGCCCGGCGAAAGUCGGAUUAAUACCGCAUGACAUCAUUGAGAGGCAUCUUUCGAUGAUCAAAGAUUUAUCGGACAAGGAUGGGCUCGCGUGACAUUAGCUAGUUGGUAAGGUAACGGCUUACCAAGGCUGCGAUGUCUAGGGGCUCUGAGAGGAGAAUCCCCCACACUGGUACUGAGACACGGACCAGACUCCUACGGGAGGCAGCAGUAAGGAAUAUUGGUCAAUGGACGGAAGUCUGAACCAGCCAUGCUGCGUGCAGGAAGACGGCCCUAUGGGUUGUAAACUGCUUUUAUACGGGAACAAACGUCGGUACGUGUACCGGUCUGAGUGUACCGUAAGAAUAAGGAUCGGCUAACUCCGUG
rnacentral:rRNA from 1 species